CCCUUAGAUGUUCUGGGCCGCACGCGCGCUACACUGUUCGACGCAGCGAGUCUUAACCUUGACCGAAAGGUUUGGGUAAUCUUCAGCAAAGUCGAACGUGAUGGGGAUCGAUCAUUGCAAUUAUUGAUCGUGAACGAGGAAUUCCUAGUAAGUGCAAGUCAUCAGCUUGCGCUGAUUACGUCCCUGCCCUUUGUACACACCGCCCGUCGCUACUACCGAUUGAAUGGUUUAGUGAGAUCUCUGGAUUGACGCUGGCUAGGGGGCGACCCUUGGCCAGGCUGUUGAGAAACUGCUCAAACUUGAUCAUUUAGAGGAAGUAAAAGUCGUAACA
rnacentral:rRNA from 1 species